CAGUCGCCGCGGGAAUACGAAGGGUGCAAGCGUUAAUCGGAAUUACUGGGCGUAAAGCGUGCGUAGGCGGUUCGUUAGGUCUGUUGUGAAAGCCCCGGGCUCAACCUGGGAAUGGCAAUGGAUACUGGCGAGCUAGAGUGUGUCAGAGGAUGGUGGAAUUCCCGGUGUAGCGGUGAAGUGCGUAGAGAUCGGGAGGAACAUCAGUGGCGAAGGCGGCCAUCUGGGACAACACUGACGCUGAGGCACGAAAGCGUGGGGAGCAAACAGGAUUAGAGACCCCUGUAGUCCCUGUCUCUUAUAC
rnacentral:rRNA from 1 species